GCCGGGUUAGCUCAGUUGGUUAGAGCAUGGUGCUAAUAACACCAAAUUCACAGGUUCAAUCCCUGCUUACUGCA
rfam:Pelecanus crispus contig83091, whole genome shotgun sequence.